GGUCCUAAGGUAGCGAAAUUCCUUGUCGGGUAAGUUCCGACCCGCACGAAAGGCGUAACGAUUUGGGCACUGUCUCAACGAGAGACUCGGUGAAAUCAUAGUACCUGUGAAGAUGCAGGUUACCCGCGACAGGACGGAAAGACCCCGUGGAGCUUUACUGUAGCCUGAUAUUGAAAUUCGGCACAGCUUGUACAGGAUAGGUAGGAGCCUUUGAAACGUGAGCGCUAGCUUACGUGGAGGCGCUGGUGGGAUACUACCCUAGCUGUGUUGGCUUUCUAACCCGCACCACUUAUCGUGGUGGGAGACAGUGUCAGGCGGGCAGUUUGACUGGGGCGGUCGCCUCCUAAAAGGUAACGGAGGCGCUCAAAGGUUCCCUCAGAAUGGUUGGAAAUCAUUCAUAGAGUGUAAAGGCAUAAGGGAGCUUGACUGCGAGACCUACAAGUCGAGCAGGGUCGAAAGACGGACUUAGUGAUCCGGUGGUUCCGCAUGGAAGGGCCAUCGCUCAACGGAUAAAAGCUACCCCGGGGAUAACAGGCUUAUCUCCCCCAAGAGUUCACAUCGACGGGGAGGUUUGGCACCUCGAUGUCGGCUCAUCGCAUCCUGGGGCUGUAGUCGGUCCCAAGGGUUGGGCUGUUCGCCCAUUAAAGCGGUACGCGAGCUGGGUUCAGAACGUCGUGAGACAGUUCGGUCCCUAUCCGUCGUGGGCGUAGGAAAUUUGAGAGGAGCUGUCCUUAGUACGAGAGGACCGGGAUGGACAUACCUCUGGUGUACCAGUUGUCGUGCCAACGGCAUAGCUGGGUAGCUAUGUGUGGACGGGAUAAGUGCUGAAAGCAUCUAAGCAUGAAGCCCCCCUCAAGAUGAGAUUUCCCAACUUCGGUUAUAAGAUCCCUCAAAGAUGAUGAGGUUAAUAGGUUCGAGGUGGAAGCAUGGUGACAUGUGGAGCUGACGAAUACUAAUCGAUCGAAGACUUAAUCAAAA
rnacentral:rRNA from 1 species